rnacentral:rRNA from 1 species
UAGAGUUUGAUCCUGGCUCAGAUUGAACGCUGGCGGCAUGCUUUACACAUGCAAGUCGAACGGGGUGAGGGGGCAACUCCUCAUUCAGUGGCGAACGGGUGAGUAACGCAUCGGAACGUGUCCCGUAGUGGGGGAUAACGCCGCGAAAGCGGCGCUAAUACCGCAUACGCUCUACGGAGGAAAGCAGGGGAUCGCAAGACCUUGUGCUAGGGGGGCGGCCGAUGUCCGAUUAGGUUGUUGGUGGGGUAAUGGCCUACCAAGCCUGCGAUCGGUAGCUAGUCUGAGAGGAUGAUCAGCCACACUGGGACUGAGACACGGCCCAGACUCCUACGGGAGGCAGCAGUGGGGAAUUUUGGACAAUGGGGGCAACCCUGAUCCAGCCAUGCCGCGUGCGGGAAGAAGGCCUUCGGGUUGUAAACCGCUUUUAGCCGGGACGAAAGCUCCACUCCUAAUACGGGUGGGGGUUGACGGUACCGGCGGAAUAAGCACCGGCUAACUACGUGCCAGCAGCCGCGGUAAUACA